rnacentral:rRNA from 1 species
CGAACGCUGGCGGCGUGCUUAACACAUGCAAGUCGAACGAGGUCGCAAGACCGAGUGGCGGACGGGUGAGUAAGACAUAGGAAACCUGCCCUGGAGUGGGGGACACCCAGCCGAAAGGUUGGCUAAUACCGCAUACGCUCGACGUCUGAGAUGGUGUCGAGGAAAGAUUUAUCACUCUUGGAGGGGCCUAUGGUCGAUUAGCUAGUUGGUGAGGUAACGGCUCACCAAGGCGACGAUCGAUAGCUGGUUUGAGAGAAUGAUCAGCCACACUGGGACUGAGACACGGCCCAGACUCCUACGGGAGGCAGCAGUGGGGAAUUUUCCGCAAUGGGCGAAAGCCUGACGGAGCGACGCCGCGUGAGGGAUGACGUUUUUCGGAAUGUAAACCUCUGUCAGGGGGGACGAUAAUGACGGUACCCCCAAAGGAAGCAUCGGCUAACUACGUGCCAGCUGCCGCGGUAAUCUGAUGGCGCGAGG